rnacentral:misc_RNA from 1 species
UCACAAGGAUCCUCACCAACCUAAGAGGAAGCUAAUGAAUCCUGAAAAACCUUAGGAAGCUUCACGAGGUUCUUCCCAACCUGAGAGUCAUUUGCUUCUGAUCCACUAUUGGUAAAGAAGGCUUUUGCCAUUUUUGCUGCGGUAAAAGUUUCUAGAAGUUCCUUUGCAAGAUCCAACGAAGGUUUUGUAGUACGAUUCCAA